ensembl:snoRNA
AGCACAUAUGUGUGUUUUUGUUUAACUUGUGGGCAAAGACUUACAGAUAGGUGCAGAAAAUAAAUGUUGUUUGCAACCUAGAGCUCAUCGUUCAAUAUGAGUUUUGAUACAUAUAAGAAGGAAUAUU